rnacentral:misc_RNA from 1 species
UCCGGUUUGUCACCGGCAGUCUCAUUAGAGUGCCCUUGCGUAGCAACUAAUGAUAAGGGUUGCGCUCGUUGCGGGACUUAACCCAACAUCUCACGACACGAGCUGACGACAGCCAUGCAGCACCUGUGUUCAGGUUCUCUUUCGAGCACGAAGCCAUCUCUGGCAACUUCCUGACAUGUCAAGGGUAGGUAAGGUUCUGCGCGUUGCGUCGAAUUAAACCACAUACUCCACCGCUUGUGCGGGCCCCCGUCAAUUCCUUUGAGCUUUAGCCUUGCGGCCGUACUCCCCAGGCGGAGGAAGGUGGGGAUGACGUCAGAGAGUACGUCC